UGGGGAAUUUUGGACAAUGGGCGCAAGCCUGAUCCAGCAAUGCCGCGUGCAGGAUGAAGGCCUUCGGGUUGUAAACUGCUUUUGUACGGAACGAAACGGUCUUUUCUAAUACAGAAGGCUAAUGACGGUACCGUAAGAAUAAGCACCGGCUAACUACGUGCCAGCAGCCGCGGUAAUACGUAGGGUGCGAGCGUUAAUCGGAAUUACUGGGCGUAAAGCGUGCGCAGGCGGUGAUGUAAGACAGAUGUGAAAUCCCCGGGCUCAACCUGGGAACUGCGUUUGUGACUGCAUCACUCGAGUACGGCGGAGGGAGGUGGAAUUCCGCGUGUAGCAGUGAAAUGCGUAGAUAUGCGGAGGAACACCGAUGGCGAAGGCAAUCCCCUGGGCCUGUACUGACGCUCAUGCACGAAAGCGUGGGGAGCAAACA
rnacentral:rRNA from 1 species